GGAGGCCGAGGUCGGUGGAUUGCUUAAACCCAUGAGUUUGAGACCAACCUGAGCAAGAGUGAGACCCCGUUUCUAUUAAAA